rnacentral:lncRNA from 1 species
GGCCCCUGGGAUGUAUUGCCCUUUAAAGACAUGAUUUGGGCAUAAUGGAUUUGUGUUGUGCUGCUGCUGGCCCUUUAAGAACCAUCUGGGGACAUACUGUGGAGUUACUGGGUGGUCACCAUUUCCUGUAUCAGAAGCACAUGGUGAGAACAAUGGAUGGCGGCCAUUUUAACUCACAGACACUGUUUGGACUUUUCAACACGGUGCCAUCUCGCCAGUAUUUGGUGCACAGAGACAUCGUGCAGUGGUUUUGGACUAUACAGCAGGGGACACAUUAUACAGUGAUUGUUUUUCAUUUAGCCUGUGUAUGUUCUGCAGAAUCUGCAUUAAACUGUAUUUUCCAAAGUACUGAACGGAUCUGGGUGAAUUUUGGAUAUGUGGUUCACCCAGAUCCCCCGGUUCCAAGGAUAUACUUUUAUGGGGUUAUUGCAUGUUUUGGGGUCCCUGUGUGUUUUAUGAAACUGUAUUAUUUCUGGCCAGCAGAUAAUUGAGCUUUGUGUAUUGUAGAAACUCAA